GAUGAACGCUGGCGGCGUGCCUAAUACAUGCAAGUCGUACGGAAAGGCCCUUCGGGGUACUCGAGUGGCGGACGGCUGAGUAACGCGUGGGAACGUGCCCCAAAGUGAGGGAUAACGCACCGAAAGGUGUGCUAAUACCGCAUAUGGUCUUCGGAUUAAAGCUUCGGCGCUUUGGGAGCGGCCCGCGUACGAUUAGAUAGUUGGUGGGGUAAUGGCUCACCAAGUCGACGAUCGUUAGCUGGUCUGAGAGGAUGAUCAGCCAGACUGGGACUGAGACACGGCCCAGACUCCUACGGGAGGCAGCAGUAAGGAAUCUUCCACAAUGGGGGCAACCCUGAUGGAGCAACGCCGCGUGCAGGAUGAAGGUUUUCGGAUCGUAAACUGCUUUUAUAAGCGAAGAAUAUGACGGUAACUUAUGAAUAAGGAUCGGCUAACUACGUGCCAGCCGCCGCCGUAACAC
rnacentral:rRNA from 1 species